ensembl:lncRNA
CUGAUAUAUAAAGUGAUGAUACAAUUUAAAAUAUUUAAUUAGACCAACAACGUGAUUUGUUGAAACAUUAAGCUUUUCCAUUGGCUCAACAUGAAAUUUCACAUUAACUCAAUGCUGCAACAAGUCCUUAACAUGACCGCAUCUGCCAUCUCUGCUGAUCCAGAGUCUGUCUACAGCCAUGGCAGGAACCUCAGGGAUUGGACAGGCUGAGACAACAGGGGUGGCAGCCUUGACCCCUGCAUGACUUGAACCUCUGCAUCCAUGACAGUAAACUCUGCAUGAUUAAGCAUUAAAAGAUUGCAAUCUUGUGUUUUGUUGCUGCCCAAAUUAAAAUUCUAUCUAAUUAUCUAAUUGAAAUUAAUUAACUUUAAAACAGACUGAUGCAACAAACAUUUUGUCAGAACCUCUAGUAAAUGUUUUGUUUGGCUAUAAAAUUUCCUCACCACAUCAAGACAUCAUGUAUUGUAACAAGUCUGAAGAGUGUGUUAUGUUCUGUUCAGGUGUGAUUUAAGUGCAUGUAUAUUCUCUUUUUGUGUUAUGUGUUCUUUUGAAUUGGGCUUUGAGGGGUGAGUAUUCUUCUAUUGAAUAAGACUAUGCACUCAUGUGUUGUUUUUUGUUGUUGUUGUUGAAGGUAAGAGCAUCCGUUACAUGAGUGUUCACAAUAAUAUAAAACUUAAAACUGUAACAUGAGUCUUAGCACUUAUUACAAUCAUUACAGUACUGUUUUUCAUUUUAUAUAUAAAAUUCCAUUUUAUUAAAUACUUUAUCAAUUUCAUUAUAUAAAAUAAUUUUCACCGAAUAUCCUUUGAUUGAUCUGUUGUGUUAUUAAAGUGAUGUGAUAUUAAUACAGUGUGUUUAUUGUAUAACCAUUCCAAAGAAAUUCACUCAGGUUGCUUUGCCAGUAUAAUUUUUGAAUAGGGGUGUGUGUGUGUGUUGCAGUCUCCAGUGAGCUCGGUCGGUUGGAGCGGUUUCGGUCUUAUCCCAUGAUAAUUCAAUGAUUGUAAGGCACCAUGUUUGUCUCAGGUAUCCUUGCUUCUGCUUCCCUUGGAGUGGCGCCCACAACAUGGCCAUCUUUGGUAAUCGUACCUGGGAUAGCCAAAGAAAAUGGCCUG